GAUACUUAGGUCAGGCGAGGAUACCCAUCGAGUAUAAGCAUGUAAAUAAG
rnacentral:rRNA from 1 species